rnacentral:snoRNA from 1 species
GGUCUGUGAUGAGUUUCGGCAUGUAUUCUGAGCAUAAAUUUGACGAUGAUCAAUUUAGCUCUACUAUUACUCUGAGACCUG